AUGAUGAUGAUGGAAGUGUUUGUUUGUAUUCUAUAAAGAGAGAAAAAGAAGGAAUUUUUUUAAUGCUUUGGAACAUGGGGAGAGGCGUUGCUGAACUGUUGAGCUUUCAGAGUGUUUAGGAAUCCAAAACCAUGAUUAAAGGUAACCUAUUUUUUAAAUAUGAUUGUCUUGAUUUCUUGCUUUGAACAUGAUUUUCUUGAGAAAUUUUCUUUGUAUGUUGUAGGUGGGUCUAUUUGUGACGAUUGGAAGAUUUGAACAUCAAUCAUUACCAUGGGAAAGAAGACUUGGGCACUACCAGUGAAGAAAGGUAAUAUUUCUCUUAUUAUAUUCUCAUAUCUUACAUUUUUUUUUUUACUAUUAGAUGAUAAUAAAAUAAAGGGUAAACAAACGGAUCCAAAUUGAUGAUUGAUGUUAUAUACUUAUAGGAACAAAACUGACUGUAAUUUUUAUCAAUAUUUCAGGUCUUUCCCGUUGGGCCUAGGUGCAAACGCCUCCCAUAAUUCAAUU
rnacentral:lncRNA from 1 species